rnacentral:rRNA from 1 species
GACGAACGCUGGCGGCGUGCUUAACACAUGCCAGUCGAACGCUGAAGCUCAGCUUUUGUUGGGUGGAUGAGUGGCGAACGGGUGAGUAACACGUGAGUAACCUGCCUCCUUCUUUGGGAUAACGCCCGGAAACGGGUGCUAAUACUGGAUAUUCACUGGUCUUCGCAUGGGGGUUGGUGGAAAGGGUUUUUCUGGUGGGGGAUGGGCUCGCGGCCUAUCAGCUUGUUGGUGGGGUGAUGGCCUACCAAGGCUUUGACGGGUGGCCGGCCUGAGAGGGUGACCGGUCACAUUGGGACUGAGAUACGGCCCAGACUCCUACGGGAGGCAGCAGUGGGGAAUAUUGCACAAUGGGCGCAAGCCUGAUGCAGCGACGCCGCGUGAGGGAUGGAGGCCUUCGGGUUGUGAACCUCUUUCGCUCAUGGUCAAGCCGCAACAAUGGUUGUGGUGAGGGUAGUGGGUAAAGAAGCGCCGGCUAACUACGUG